rnacentral:rRNA from 1 species
GACGAACGCUGGCGGCGUGCCUAAUACAUGCAAGUAGAACGCUGAAGGAGGAGCUUGCUUCCCCGGAUGAGUUGCGAACGGGUGAGUAACGCGUAGGUAACCUGCCUGGUAGCGGGGGAUAACUAUUGGAAACGAUAGCUAAUACCGCAUAACAGUAGAUAUUGCAUGAUAUCUGCUUGAAAGGUGCAAUUGCAUCACUACCAGAUGGACCUGCGUUGUAUUAGCUAGUUGGUGGGGUAACGGCUCACCAAGGCGACGAUACAUAGCCGACCUGAGAGGGUGAUCGGCCACACUGGGACUGAGACACGGCCCAGACUCCUACGGGAGGCAGCAGUAGGGAAUCUUCGGCAAUGGACGGAAGUCUGACCGAGCAACGCCGCGUGAGUGAAGAAGGUUUUCGGAUCGUAAAGCUCUGUUGUAAGAGAAGAACGAGUGUGAGAGUGGAAAGUUCACACUGUGACGGUAUCUUACCAGAAAGGGACGGCUAACUACGUG